rnacentral:rRNA from 1 species
CGCAUCUGUGCAUGCAGCAUAUCAAUAAGCGGAGGAAAAGAAACUAACAAGGAUUCCCUUAGUAACGGCGAGUGAAGCGGGAAGAGCUCAAAUUUGAAAUCUUCAAGGUUUUACCUUGACGAAUUGUAGUUUAAAGAAGUGUUUUCUGUUGAAGUUUUGGUAAAAGUUCUUUGGAAUAGGACAUCAUAGAGGGUGAGAAUCCCGCAUUUGACCAUUAUUUUCAGCUGUGUGAUACACUUUCAAAGAGACGGAUUGUUUGGGAAUGCAGUCCAAAAUGGGUGGUAAAUUUCAUCUAAAGCUAAAUAUUGGCGAGAGACCGAUAGCGAACAAGUACCGUGAGGGAAAGAUGAAAAGAACUUUGAAAAGAGAGUUAAACAGUACGUGAAAUUGUCAAAAGGGAAGCGUUUGACACCAGUGUUGUUUUUCUGAAAAUCAAUUAAAGAACUGUUUAUGCUAAGUUGUUUAGACUUUAUCAGCUAUCUGUUUAGUUUUGAGCUUUUCUUUAAUGCACUUUUCAGUUAACAAGUCAACAUCAAUUUCUUUUGCUGUAAAAAAGCUUGAGGAAGGUGGCUUGAGAUUCGUCUUAAGUGUUUAUAGCCUCUUGCCUAUGCAGUCGGAGAGAUUGAGGUCUGCAGCGUAGAUCCUUCGGGGCUAAAUGCAUUUGUGCUAAGUCAUAGCAUUUUAUAGACAACUUGUUGACUAUGAUUUGUCUUGUAGCUUACUCGCUUAUGCUAUUUUACCUACGCUUAGGAUGUUGAUGUGAUACUGCGAGCA